rnacentral:rRNA from 1 species
CCCUUAGAUGUUCUGGGCUGCACGCGUGCUACACUGAUAUUGCCAAUAUGUCAUUCUUAUCCGAAAUGGAUUGGGUAAUCAAGUAAUGAAAUUUCAUGCUUGGAAUCGGUAAUUGCAAUUUUAUCGUGAACGAGGAAUUCCUAGUAAGCACUAGUCAUCAGCUAAUGUUGAUUAUGUCCCUGCCCUUUGUACACACCGCCCGUCGCUACUACUGAUUGGGUGUUCAAGUGAGAUGCUUAGACCCUUGUUGCAUGGUUCAUUAUUGUGCUCCGAAAGGAAAAAGUUUCAAGCUUGAGUGUCUAGAGGAAGUAAAAGACGUAACA